AUUUUCAGAUUUUGCCCAGAGUGCGGUGGCAAAGGAACGUUUGCGUAUGUUGGAGAGACGCACAAUUUCUAAUAGCACAUAAAACUGAGCUGCAAAUUGGCCAUGGACUGAAUAUUCAGACUAGAUUUAUAUGUUUAAACUGUAGGAAGUUAUUUGUAAAUACUGUUGAUUUUGUUUUAUGUAGCUAGGAAAAACGUUAAGGGCCAAUUAUUUGAAUUUAUUGCAAUAAAAGUAAACUUCAUUACCGAGAAUAUGAAUAUCUAAGAAUGUGAAAAACAAUAAUAUACUUAAUUUCACAAAAAAAGACAAACUUACUUUUUCUUUUAUUUGUGACGUUUUAUUUUGGUGUGAAAACUGUGAACCUCUGAAGUAUACGUAAUGAAACAGUAAUGUAUAUGUUUAUGUAUCAAAUGGAAAAAAAAAAACCAAAAUUAGUAACGUUGAUACUGUUCAUAUCGUCCCUACUCCUUUAAUUUGCUAUCGAAUAAUAUUUAAACACGUAAUUGUUUAUACAAUGAAUUAAAAAGGAAGUUUUCA